UGAUUUAAUAGUGUUUCCUAAUCUAUUUACUAAAUCGCUAUUCUAUAUUUGAGUUUGACACGUGGCAAGCAUAUAGAAAGCCACAUAUCAGUUUCUCACAAAGGGUUCAUAAAGGGUUCUACUUUAGUAUAUAGUAAAUAGAUUUGAUUUUUAUAUGACUUAAUUUGAUUUCUAAUAGUAAUUUAAUUUGAUUUAAUAGUGUUUUCUAAUCUAUUUACUAAAUCGCUAUUCUAUAUUUGAGUUUGACACAUGACAAGCAUAUAGAAAGCCACGUGUCAGUUUCUCACAAAGGGUUCAUAAAGGGUUCUACGUACUUUAGUAUAUAUUUAAUAGUGACUUAAUUUGAUUUUUAUAUGACUUAAUUUGAUUUUUAAUAGUGAUUUAAUUUGAUUUAAUAGUGUUUCCUAAUCUAUUUACUAAAUCGCUAUUCUAUAUUUGAGUUUGAUACGUGGCAAGCAUAUAGAAAGCCACGUGUCAGUUUCUCACAAAGGAUUGAUAAAGGGUUCUACUUUAGUAUAUAGUAAAUAGAUUUGAUUUUUGUAUGACUUAAUUUGAUUUUUAAUAAUGAUUUAAUUUGAUUUAAUAGUGUUUCCUAAUCUAUUUACUAAAUCGCUAUUCUAUAUUUGAGUUUGACACGUAGCAAGUAUAUAGAAAGCCACAUGUCAGUUUCUUUCAAAGGGUUCAUAAAGGGUUCUACUUUAGUAUAUAGUAAAUAGAUGAGCCGGGCCGGGCCGGACUCCGGGCCGCCCAUUAAUUUUUUAUUUUUUAAAAAAUACAAUAAAUUUUUAAAAUAUAAAAUAUUUAUAUAUAUAAUUAAACUACAAAAUUUAGUAAAAAUAAUAAAACUUUUAAAAUUUUAUUAAAAUUUAAAAUAUUUUAAAGGCUAAAUUACAGAAAACCCCCCUGUAAUAACCCGCUUUUUCACUUUCCCCUCCUGACAUUUAAAAACCUAUACUUUGCCCCCUUGUAAAAUAAAAAAUGUGCACUUCACCCCUACCGUUAGGGUUCCGUUAGAGGUUCUGUUAA
rnacentral:lncRNA from 1 species